UAGUACUGUGAAGGAAAGGUGAAAAGGACCCCGGGAGGGGAGUGAAAAAGAACCUGAAACCAUAUGUUUACAAGCUGUGGAAGAGCUUUAUAUGCUCAACCGCGUACUUUUUGUAGAACGGUCCGGCGAGUUACGCUGGCUGGCGAGGUUAAGGACUAAAGGUCCGGAGCCGAAGGGAAACCAAGUCUGAAUAGGGCGCAUAGUCAGUCGGAGUAGACCCGAAACCGGGUGAUCUAUCCAUGUCCAGGUUGAAGUUGCCGUAAAAGGCAAUGGAGGACCGAACCCACAUCCGUUGAAAAGGGUGGGGAUGAGGUGUGGAUAGGGGAGAAAUUCCAAUCGAACCCGGAGAUAGCUGGUUCUCCUCGAAAUAGCUUUAGGGCUAGCCUCAUACGAGUCUUGCGGAGGUAGAGCACUGAAUUCCUAAGGGGGCGUCAAAGCUUACUAAGGGAUAUCAAACUCCGAAUGCCGUGUAGAUGAUGUAUGGGAGUCAGACGAUCCGAGAUAAGUUGGGUGGUCAAAAGGGAAAGAGCCCAGACCAACAGCUAAGGCCCCAAAAUGUGUGUUAAGUGGAAAAGGAUGUGGGAUUUCGAAGACAACUAGGAUGUUGGCUCAGAAGCAGCCAUUCAUUCAAAGAGUGCGUAAUAGCUCACUAGUCGAGAGGUCCUGCGCCGAAAAUGUCCGGGGCUAAAACACACUGCCGAAGCUUUGGAAUUGAGAAUUCAAUUGGUAGAGGAGCAUUCUUAAAGGGACGAAGCAGUACCGUAAGGAGCUGUGGACUUUUAAGAAGAGAGAAUGCCGGAAUGAGUAGCGAGAGGAAGGUGGGAAUCCUUCCGGCCGAAUAUCUAAGGUUUCCAGAGUAAAGCUGAUCUGCUCUGGGUAAGUCGGGGCCUAAGGCGAGGUCGAAAGACGUAGUCGAUGGAUAACAGGUUGAAAUUCCUGUACUAUCCUGUAACAGAACUGUGGGGACACAGGCAGAGAGCGUGAGCCGGGAAUGGAAAGACCGGUACAAGCGAGGUAGGAGAAGAGUUGGCAAAUCCGCUCUUUAAUCUGAAGACGUGAUGUGGACUGAAAAUAAGUAGGGAAGCACGUGAGCUGACUGUCAAGAAAAGCCGCUAUUGUUUGCAGGAUACCCGUACCGUAAACCGACACAGGUGGAUGAGGAGAGAAUCCUAAGGCCGACGGGAGAAGCAUUGUUAAGGAACUCGGCAAAAUGACUCCGUAACUUCGGGAGAAGGAGUGCCAGUAAGAUGGCCGCAGAGAAUUGGCCCAAGCAACUGUUUAGCAAAAACACAGGUCUAUGCAAAACCGAAAGGUGAGGUAUAUGGGCUGACGCCUGCCCGGUGCUGGAAGGUUAAGGGGAGAGGUUAGCGCAAGCGAAGCUUUGAACUUAAGCCCCAGUAAACGGCGGCCGUAACUAUAACGGUCCUAAGGUAGCGAAAUUCCUUGUCGGGUAAGUUCCGACCCGCACGAAAGGCGUAAUGAUUUGGGCACUGUCUCAACAAUGCACCCGGUGAAAUUGAAAUACCAGUGAAGAUGCUGGUUACCUGCGCCAGGACGGAAAGACCCCAUGGAGCUUUACUCCAGCUUGAUACUGGGAUUCGGUAUUGCAUGUACAGGAUAGGUGGGAGGCUAGGAAAUGGUAACGCCAGUUGCCAUGGAGCCAAUGUUGGGAUACCACCCUUGCAGUACUGGGUUUCUAACCAGCAGCCGUGAUCCGGCUGGGGGACAAUGUCAGGUGGGGAGUUUGACUGGGGCGGUCGCCUCCGAAAGGGUAUCGGAGGCGCUCAAAGGUUCCCUCAGAAUGGUUGGAAACCAUUCGAAGAGUGCAAAGGCAGAAGGGAGCUUGACUGCGACACCGACGG
rnacentral:rRNA from 1 species